AUGUUUUGAACUUUUCUCUUCUAGGGUUUCAUGUAUGAACACUCUCAUGGAGAGCUUGACUUGGGUGUCUCGGUUUUGGCCAUUUCAAUGAGCAAGAUGCAGAUUUUCUUCUUCUCUUAACUUACUCUUGGUUGUCUUAGCUUAUUAGUGGUGAAAAACCAUUCAUUUCCACUUCCAUUUGCUUGUUCUUGAUGCUUGGAGUUUGAGUUUUGGAGCUUGUCUUUGCAUUUCCAUGGUGGAUGUUGGUUUUGAGUGACUUUGUAUUUCGUUUUCCUCUCCCUUUGCUGUUGUUCUUCUAGGUUUUCUUUGCAUUUUAUUUGGUUGGAUGAUAAAAAUGGAGUUCUAUGUGAGUUUUGGGUUGAAUAGAGCUUAACUUGAUGUGUGGGUGUUGUGGUUUGGGCUCUUUCUUCUUGAAUUUCGUUUUUCAUGUUUGAAGCAAGGAUGGAACCAGAUUUUGGGGUUGUUAUUGUGGCUGGACAGAGCUGGACUUGAUGGCUAAGAUAUUAUUUUCGUUUUUGCAAAGAAAGUUGAAGAAAUGGAAGAUUUGGUUGGGUUGAAUUAGUAGUAGUGUGGGUUUAUUGUUCUUGAAUGGUGUUGCAACUUGAAAUGGGGUUCCUUG
rnacentral:lncRNA from 1 species